UAAAGGUAGACAGAAGAAAGGAGUGAAAUACAGCGGGAGACACAAUUUGAAUGAGUAAGUGUCAGUGUUCUCUGCGGUGAAGAGAGGCCAAGCAUCUGUGUUGCUGUACAAUGAAAGUAGACAGUGACCAGGAGCUGUCAAGCCUCAAAAAAAUCUUUUUGAAUAGCUUGAGAGGAAUAGAAUGAAAUAGAACAAGCUCCAACCUAAAAUAAGGAUACAAAAAAAUCCAGUGUUUGACUAAUAUCUUGUCUACUAAUAUGUCUUCAUCUUGAUUAUUCCUUGAUUAUAUACUUCACUUGCUUGUGAUAUACAUGAUCCUGUGCAUGUGUUUGGGCUGGAUAAAAGAACGUAUUGGUUAAUGCUGUUUGAUGCUAAAAGAAUUAAAAUGUAAUUAUAUUUAAAUUGAUAUAAUUUAAUCACAUUUUAAUUAAAUUAAUACAAUUUAAUUGCCGAUUAAAGAACGUUGUCUGUGUGACUGACUGGACUGUGAUGCCUCAGCUAUGGAGAGAUGAAUGGACAGCAUGUUGGAGGGGGUAAGAGAAGAAAAUACAGUUAGAGAGAGUGAAAGUGAGAGCUUGUGCUUUAUGGUGGGCCUGUGGAAAUGUUUAUGACAUUAAGAAGUUAACGUCUGCACGGGGCUCCUGCGACCAGCAUAAAUAUUUACACGUUGUCUCUGUGUGCCUGUGUUUGCAGUGCCUUUGAAUGAAGACAGUGACCUUGGGCAGAGAAUCGCUGCAUAAAACACAUCGUUUUGGGAAAACAAUGGCAUCUUAAUGCUUUCUUUUAAUCCUGAGUAUGAGCUUAGCCAUGAAGCUCAGAUAUACACACACAACGACAGCUCGAAACACAUGAAUGAUCCAUAUGGAGCGCAACCUUACAGCUGUGAGAUUUCUCUGCAUCAGGAACCAAUCAUCUCAUGUGCCACAACACAGCUCUCCAGCAACGCUUUGAGCCGCCUCAUCUAAUGCAAGCAAGAUUAUGUGAGUUUAAAAAAAAAGAAGGAAAGAUAAAAAGGAAAUGAGGGAGAGUGUAGUUCAAAAGUCAAAGGGGUGCUAAGGUGGUGUGACUGGUUGCCAGGGCAUAGCCUAUAUGAUAUGUGGUUUUUAAGGUAUUCACAAUGUUUUUAGGGUGUUCUGGGUGGUUAUCAGGGUAUUGCUAUGCUGUUUUUGUUUUGAGUGAUUUUUAAUGCGUUGCUAGGCUGUUUGGAGUGACUGUUAAAGAGCCUGUAAGUGUUUGCCAGGGUGUUGCUAUGAGCACGUACACACUACAGCUAAAUUCGGUUGUCAGUUCACCUUUUAGUGCUUAAUCUCGUUCUGUACACACACAGUUCAGUAAAAUACGAGAGUGACAACCGCAUUCUACAACCGUAUUUACUCCCGAAAAAUACAGGUAGUGACAACCGCAUUAACAGAAAUUCUAUGCAGUGUGUACGGAACCGAACUGAACAACUAGUUGUUAAUGACGUUUACGUGCACCGGUGUAACGUUUGUCUCUCGUGUAUGCGCGGCGAAUCACAGGGAAAGCACAAGCCUAUCCAAAUGCUUUAUGCUGAAAAUCGCGAUUCAUGUUUGCUCACUUUAAUAACUCCAUAAACCCGUUUGCUUUAUGAGACGAGCUUAAACAACAAGCCCAAAAACGCUUAUAGUGAGUGACCAUGGCAACACAGAAAGAGCGCGCGCUGUGUGAAACAGGCUGUCCAAGCAUAAAACACGACGCCUCCGUCGACAGUGUUAGUGUGUUUAAAUUGCUGAAAAUAACGAGUGUUUUGUCACUUUAAUAUUACUUUGGUCACGAUAACGGAUACCAAACAUGAGAGACGCCAGAACGUCGCUAUGGUUUCCAAGCUGUCAAUCAUCGCAGUUUGAGAUUCAGACUUUAACGAUCUGGACAUCAGGCAUGCAAAAUAAUAUGCAAACACAUACAAACAGAUUGGAUGUAUCAGACAGGGAUGAAGGAAGACCACUAGACGCUUUGCCCACAGGAAUCUAAAAUGCUGAGAGCCGCAGCAUCCUUGGGAAACAGUUGGGGAACUUGGGGAACAGCCACUGUCAGCACUCUGAUGAGGACGGCCCAGCAGCAACAGGAAAUGGUGGGAAGAAGGAGAAGGCGUGGGAUCGGGAAAUGACCCAAGACACGAAACCCGGUCAACAUCGUGCUAUGUGCACUACUGACCUGGCCGCACCUCUGACAAUAGAUCUGUUCCGAAACCUAGUGAGCUGCCUCAUAUGGUUACGAUAUAUAUGCAGUAUUAUAGUAAUUGUUACAUGUGCCCUGGGUCCGUGCUCUAUUUUCAUUAUAUGGACUCCAUU